UUUUUGAAGUGUGAUUUUCGUUUUUAUUCCUGCGUUGUUCUCGUAAAUUACUAGGCAAAGUUUAAGUGUGAAUAAUAAAAAUUAUUUAGUUUUCGGUUCUGCUGUCGUUUCCUUACUGGAACUAGCAAGAAUCUCUUUGGCGGAUUGCCUUCGUGGCUGUUGUUUGAUUUGGUCAAGCCCGGAACAGGUUGUACGACUAAGCCAAAACAAUCGAAAAAUGUCGAUAACAGGCUUGGAACUGGACCUAAAUAGGAAUCUGGAACAGGGGCACCGCAUUUUAUGAACGUGCUUGGUGUGCAAACACGUCACGUACUUCACAUUCCCGAUACGCACGAUGGUGAGUUGCCAGGUCUCCCGGUCUUGGGCCGCUAGUCGUCAGUCUCCCUGCACACCGACGAGUUGCCAUUUCAUCGGGAGCGGAUUGCUAUGGAAUCUGUGCUUGUUGGGUCUAUCGUUAUGCUUUGCUACGGGACGGAAUGAUUCAGUGGGACCAGGAUAAAACACCGGCGCAAGUGUACUUCUCGUUCAAGGAUGAAAAGAUCAACGUUUAUUAGUCAAGCGCCGGUAUGUUGUUUAAUUGUGAAAGCUAAAUUGUAAGCUUGCUUAAUUAUCUCCAACCGAAUAUGUACUUUAAUAUAUGUAAAUAUAUGUUUAAAAUUAUGCAUACACAAAAUAAAAA